GAACGCCCGGGCUUCGGCCUGGUUAUUCAUAACCCUUUGUUGUCCGACUCUGUUGCCUCCGGGUUGACCCUGCCUUCGGGCGGGGGCUCCGGGUGGACACUUCAAACUCUUGCGUAACUUUGCAGUCUGAGUAAACUUAAUUAAUAAAUUAAAACUUUUAACAACGGAUCUCUUGGUUCUGGCAUCGAUGAAGAACGCAGCGAAAUGCGAUAAGUAAUGUGAAUUGCAGAAUUCAGUGAAUCAUCGAAUCUUGGGACGCACAUUGCGCCCCCUGGUAUUCCGGGGGGCAUGCCUGUUCGAGCGUCAUUUCACCACUCAAGCCUCGCUUGGUAUUGGGCAACGCGGUCCGCCGCGUGCCUCAAAUCGUCCGGCUGGGUCUUCUGUCCCCUAAGCGUUGUGGAAACUAUUCGCUAAAGGGUGUUCGGGAGGCUACGCCGUAAAACAACCCCAUUUCUAAGGUUGACCUCGGAUCAGGUAGGGAUACCCGCUGAACUUAAGCAUAUCAAUAAGCGGAGGA
rnacentral:rRNA from 1 species